GGAUGAUGGUGAUGAUGAUGAUGAUGAUGAUGAUGAUGAUGAUGGUGACAAUGAUCAGAUAAAGUAGAAUAAUAACGCCACACUGCAGAAACAAUCAGGAGGAAAUGGGCGGAUGCUACAACACGGUCGUCAUGAUCAUCAUCAUCAUCAUCAUCAUCAUCGUCA
rnacentral:pre_miRNA from 1 species